CCUACGGGAGGCAGCAGUGGGGAAUAUUGGACAAUGGGCGAAAGCCUGAUCCAGCCAUGCCGCGUGUGUGAAGAAGGCCUUCGGGUUGUAAAGCACUUUCAGUGGGGAAGAAAGCCUUGGGGCUAAUACCCUCGAGGAAGGACAUCACCCACAGAAGAAGCACCGGCUAACUCCGUGCCAGCAGCCGCGGUAAUACGGAGGGUGCGAGCGUUAAUCGGAAUUACUGGGCGUAAAGCGCGCGUAGGCGGUCUGAUAAGCCGGUUGUGAAAGCCCCGGGCUCAACCUGGGAACGGCAUCCGGAACUGUCAGGCUAGAGUGCAGUAGAGGAAGGUAGAAUUCCCGGUGUAGCGGUGAAAUGCGUAGAGAUCGGGAGGAAUACCAGUGGCGAAGGCGGCCUUCUGGACUGACACUGACGCUGAGGUGCGAAAGCGUGGGUAGCAAACAGGAUUAGAUACCCGAGUAGUC
rnacentral:rRNA from 1 species